rnacentral:lncRNA from 1 species
AGUGUUGUCUCUGCCUGUCUCUCACCCUGCUCUGUACCGUCACAGCACAGUGUUGUCUCUGCCUGUCUCUCACCCUGCUCUGUACCGUCACAGCACCGUGGGCAGAGUUAUUUUAGGGAUUCGGCAGGCUAAGUGUUGAAGACGUCAGAUAGGCGUUGCCUGGGGUUACUGACCUUACGUUGAAGCUACAAGGGAAGUCUGGAUCCAAAUGUGUCCUGACUCAUCAUGGUGUCUGUGUUACUAUAGACUACUACUACUACUACUGGGCCCAGAUACAGGCCCAGAGACAGGUCCUGACACAUCAUGGUGUCUGUGUUACUAUAGACUACUACUGGGCCCAGAUACAGGCCCAGAGACAGGUCCUGACACAUCAUGGUGUCUGUGUUACUAUAGACUACUACUACUACUGGGCCCAGAUACAGGUCUAGACACAUCAUGGUGUCUGUGUUACUCUGUGUUACUAUAGACUACUACUACUACUGGGCCCAGAUACAGGCCCAGAGACAGGUCCUGACACAUCAUGGUGUCUGUGUUACUAUAGACCUACUACUACUACUGGGCCCAGAUACAGGCCCAACUCCGGGCCCAGAGACAGGUCUAGCUAGCCUGGUCCCUGAUUGGUUUGUGCUUUUGCCUACUCCCUAUUGUCAUUGUGGAGCUAAAGAGAGCAGAACGUGACUGGCACCCAGGCUAAGGCCUAGCGACUAACAUGCUUUAAUCCACUGACCGAGACAUGAUGUUUGACAGCACGUUGGUUACUGUUAGAUGCUAAGCCCUCUAUAAGACCUGACAGACAGCAUCCUUCUGCAAUGUCGGAUCAACAUAUUUUUAGGAGCUCAAAUUGGAUAAUCAGUUCACCGACUGACUGGUUCCAACAGUCGACUACUUCGUCUCAACACCAGGUCUGACGACGGAGGAGGAGGCCUGGUCUGACGACGGAGGAGGAGGCCUGGUCUGACGACGGAGGAGGAGGCCUGGUCUGACGACGGAGGAGGAGGCCUGGUCUGACGACGGAGGAGGAGGCCUGGUCUGACGACGGAGGAGGAGGCCUGGUCUGACGGCGGAGGAGGAGGCCUGGUCUGACGGCGGAGGAGGAGGCCUGGUCUGACGGCGGAGGAGGAGGCCUGGUCUGACGGCGGAGGAGGAGGCCUGGUCUGACGGCGGAGGAGGAGGCCUGGUCUGACGGCGGAGGAGGAGGCCUGGUCUGACGGCGGAGGAGGAGGCCUGGUCUGACGGCGGAGGAGGAGGCCUGGUCUGACGGCGGAGGAGGAGGCCUGGUCUGACGGCGGAGGAGGAGGCCUGGUCUGACGGCGGAGGAGGAGGCCUGGUCUGGCGGCGGAGGAGGAGGCCUGGUCUGGCGGCGGAGGAGGAGGCCUGGUCUGGCGGCGGAGGAGGAGGCCUGGUCUGGCGGCGGAGGAGGAGGCCUGGUCAGACGGCGGAGGAGGAGGCCUGGUCUGGCGGCGGAGGAGGAGGCCUGGUCAGCCGGCGGAGGAGGAGGCCUGGUCUGACGGCGGAGGAGGAGGCCUGGUCUGACGGCG